rnacentral:SRP_RNA from 1 species
GCUGGGCAUGGUGGCGCAUGCCUGUAAUCCCAGCUACUUGGGAGGCUGAGGCAGGAGAAUUGCUUGAGGCAGGGAGGUUGAGGUUGCAGUGAGCUGAGACCAUGCCACUGCACUCCAGCCUGGCCGACAAAGUGAGGCUCUGUCUCAA